CCGCUUGGGUCCCCUUCCACACUGUGGAAGCUUUGUUCUUUUGCUCUUUGCAAUAAAUCUUGCUACUGCUCACUCUUUGGGUCCAUGCUGCUUUUAUGAGCUGUAACACUCACCACGAAGGCCUGCAGCUUCACUCCUGAAGCCAGCGAGACCACGAGCCCGCCGGGAGGAACGAACAACUCCAGAUGUGCCGCCUUAAGAGCUGUAACACUCACCGCAAAGGUCUGCAGCUUCACUCCUGAGCCAGCGAGACCACGAACCCACCAGAAGGAAGAAACUCCGAACACAUCCGAACAUCAGAAGGAACAAACUCCAGACGCACCACCUUAAGAGCUGUAACACUCACCGCAAGGGUCCGCAGUUUCAUUCUUGAAGUCAGUGAGACCAAGAACCCACCAAUUCCGGACACAUUUUGGCGACCCAGAUGGGACUUUCGCCUAUCACCAAGCGGUGAGACCCACCUAUAGCUGAGCGGCGAGACCAUCACCUAUCACCAAGCAAAUCAAGGCCAUCAAGCUACAGAUGGGCUUACAAAUGGAACCCAAAAUGAGUUCAACUAACAACUUCUACCAAGGGCCCCUGGACCGACCCACUGGCACUUCCCCUGGCCUAGAGUUCCCCUCUGAAGGACACUACAACUGCAAGGCCCCUUCUUCACCCCAUCCAGCAGGAAGUAGCUAGAGCGGUCAUCGGCCAAAUUCCCAACAGCAGUUGGGGUGUCCUGUUUAGAGGGGGGAUUGAGAGGUGACAGCAUGCUGGCAGUCCUCAGCCCUCACUCACUCUUGGCACCUCCUCUGCCCGGGCUCCCACUUUGGUGGCACUUGAGGAGCGCUUCAGCCCACCGCUGCACUGUGGGAGCCCCUUUCUGGGCUGGCCAAGGCCAGAGCCGGCUCCCUCAGCUUCCAGGGAGGUGUGGAGGGAGAGGCUCAAGCGGGAACUGGGGCUGCGUGCGGCGCUUGCGGGCCAGCUGGAGUUCCGGGCGGGCGUGGGCUUGGCGGGCCCUGCACUCAGAGCAGCCAGCCGGCCCUGCCGGCCCCGGGCAGUGAGGGGCUUAGUACCUGGGCCAGCAGCUGUGAAGGGUGUACUGGGUCCCCCAGCAGUGCCAGCCCACCGGCGCUGCACUCGAUUUCUCACCGGGCCUUAGCCGCCUUCCCAUGGGGCAGGGCUUGGGACCUGCAGCCCGCCAUGCCUGAGCCUCCCACACCCCCUCCAUGGGCUCCUGUGCGGCCCGAGCCUCCUCGACGAGCGCCACCCCCUGCUCCACGGCACCCAGUCCCAUCGACCACCCAAGGGCUGAGGAGUGCGGGCGCACGCAGGGGACUGGCAGGCAGCUCCACCUGCAGCCCCGGUGCGGGAUUCACCGGGUGAAGCCAGCUGGGCUCCUGAAUCUGGUGGGGCUUUGGAGAACCUUUACAAUCCCUGAGCUAGACAUAAAUACACCAAUCGGCACUCUGUAUCUAGCUCAAGGUUUGUAAACACACCAGUCAGCACCCUGUGUCUAGCUCAGGGUUUGUGAGUGCACCAAUUGACACUCUGUAUCUAGCUGCUCUGGUGGGGCCGUGAAGAACCUUUAUGUCUAGCUCAGGGAUUGUAAAUACACCAAUCGGCACUCUGUAUCUAGCUCAAGGUUUGUAAACACACCAAUCAGCACCCUGUGUCUAGCUCAGGGUUUGUGAGUGCACCAAUGGACACUCUGUAUCUAUCUGCUCUGGUGGGGCCUUGGAGAACCUUUGUGUGGAUACUCUGUAUCUAAUCUGAUGGGGACGUGGAGAACCUUUGUAUCCAGCUCAGGGAUUGUAAACGCACCAAUCAGCGCCCUGUCAAAACAGACCACUGGGCUCUACCAAUCAGCAGGACGUGGGUGGGGCCAGAUAAGAGAAUGAAACCAGGCUGCCCCAGCCAGCAGUGGCAACCCGCUUGGGUCCCCUUCCACACUGUGGAAGCUUUGUUCUUUUGCUCUUUGCAAUAAAUCUUGCUACUGCUCACUCUUUGGGUCCAUGCUGCUUUUAUGAGCUGUAACACUCACCACGAAGGCCUGCAGCUUCACUCCUGAAGCCAGCGAGACCACGAGCCCGCCGGGAGGAACGAACAACUCCAGAUGUGCCGCCUUAAGAGCUGUAACACUCACCGCAAAGGUCUGCAGCUUCACUCCUGAGCCAGCGAGACCACGAACCCACCAGAAGGAAGAAACUCCGAACACAUCCGAACAUCAGAAGGAACAAACUCCAGACACACCACCUUAAGAGCUGUAACACUCACCGCAAGGGUCCGCAGUUUCAUUCUUGAAGUCAGUGUGACCAAGAACCCACCAAUUCCAGACACAUUAGCACUGGCUCCUUUUUUUUUUAGACGGAGUCUCGCUCUUUUGCCCAGGCCGGAGUGCAGUGGCGCGAUCUCGGCUCACUGCAAGCUCCGCCUCCCAGGUUCAUACCAUUCUCCUGCCCCAGACUCCCGAGUAGCUGGGACUACAGGCACCCGCCACUGAACCUGGUUAAUUUUUUGUAUUUUUAGUAGAGAUGGGGUUUCACCGUGUUAGCCAGGAUGGUCGCUAUCUCCUGACCUCAUGAUCCGCCAGCCUCGGCCUCCCAAAGUGCUGGGAUUACAGGGGUGAACCACCGCGCCCGGCCUCACUCCUUUUUAAUUACGCAAAUAUCUCUAGCAAGUGGUUGCUCCACAGCCUGCUUGUAUCCCUCUUUUGAGAAAGCUUUUUCUUUCUUUGCCACAUGGGCAGACUACAAAAUUUCCAAACUUUUAUAUUCUGCUUCCCUUUUAAAUGUAAGCUCCAACUUUCUUCAUCAUUUCCAUCUGAGACUCAGCAGCUUGGAUCUCGCUGUCCAUAUCACUAUCAGCAUUUUGGUCACAACAAUUUAACCAGUCUCUAAGAAGUUUUAAACCUUCCCUCAUCUUCCUGUCUUUUUCUGAGCCUUCCAAACUCUUUCAGCCUCUGCCUGUUACAUAGUUCCAAAAUGACUUCCACAUUUUCAGGUAUCUUUAUAGUAAUUCCCCACCCCGGUGCCAAUUUUCUCUUAGAUUGCUAUACAGAAAUAGCUGAGACUGGGUAAUUUAUAAGAAAAGAGGUUUAAUUGGCUCAUGGUUCUACAGGCUGUACAGGAAGCAUAGCAGCAUCUGCUUCUGGGGAGGCCUCAGGAAACUUCCAAUCGUGGCAGAAGGCAAAGGGGAAGCAGGCACAUCACAUGGUGAAAGCAGGAACAAGGUCAGGGGGCAGAUGCUACACACUUUUAAAUGACUAGAUCUCGAGAGAACUGAAAAGACAGUACCAAGCUAUGAGGGAUCCACCCCCAUGAUCCAAACACCUCUGGGCAGGCCCCACAUUCAGCACUGGGGAUUACAAUUCAACAUGAGAUGUGGGUGGGGACAAAUAUCCAAACUAUAACAGCCUAUAAUUCACAUUUUAUCAUCAAAGGAGCAAAUAUUAUUCUUGGGGCAAAACUGAGUAAAUAUUGUCGUCCCACAUGGAUGUGAACUAUUUCUAGUCUCUUUCCUGAUAGAAGUAGGGGAAAAAAUGCAUUUACUAAAUCAGUGGCUGUGUAUUAUGUACCUCACACUUAGUACCCCUACUGUGUGCAGUCAUUGAGUGGAAGUAAACCAGAAAGUGGCCUCAGUGUGAGAACUGAGGUGGAUCCAAAAAUGGCAGCUGGCUGGGCAUGAUGGCUCACACCUGUAAUCCUAGCACUUUGAGAGCCCAAGGCAGGCAAAUCACUUGAGGUCAGGAGUUUGAAACCAGACUAGCCAACAUGGUGAAACCCUUUCUCUACUAAAAAUACAAAAAAUUAGCCAGGCGUGGCCGGGCACAGUGGCUCAUGCCUGUAAUCCCAGCACUUUGGGAGGCCGAUGCAGGCAGAUCACCUGAGGUCAGGAGUUCGAGACCAGCCUGACCAACACAGUGAAACCCCGUCUCUACUAAAAAUACAAAAACUAGCUGGGCAUGGUGGCUCGCCACUGUAGUCCCAGCUACUCAGGAGGCUGAGGCAGGAGAAUCACUUGAACCUGGGAGACGGAGGUUGUAAUGAGCCAAGAUUGCACCACUGCACUCUAGCUCGGGCUACGGAGCAAGAAUCUGUCUCAAAAAAAAAAGAAAGAAAGAAAGAAAGAAAGAAAGAAAGAAAGAAAGAAAGAAAAAGAAAAAAUUAGCCAAACAUGGUGGUUCAUGCUUGUAACCCCAGCUACUCAGGAGGCUGAAGCAGGAGAAUCGCUUGAACCUGGCAGGCAGAGGUUGCAGUGAGCUGAGAUUGUACCACUGCACUUCAACCUGGGCAACAGAGUGAGACUCCAUCCCCACUCCCCCACAAAAAAAACAGCAGCUAGAGGCUGGCCAGGGAACUAUGUUUCUCAUAGAGGCCUGCCUGCCUGCCUGCCUUCCUUCCUUCCUUCUUUCCUUCCUUCUCUGUUUUUCUUUGACAUGAAUUAAAAAAUAAUUUUCAUUAUG
rnacentral:lncRNA from 1 species